CCCUAUGGGGUGCAGCAGUCGCGAAAAUUUUGCAAUACACGAAAGUGUGACAGAGCUAUCCCGAGUGCCAUCCGCUGAGGAAGGCUUUUACCCAGUAUAAAUAGCUGGGAGAAUAAGGAGAGGGCAAGUCUGGUGUCAGCCGCCGCGGUAAUACCAGCUCUCCGAGUAGUGUGGACGUUUAUUGGGCCUAAAGCAUCCGUAGCUUGCUAAGCAAGUCCCCUGUUAAAUCCACCGAUUCAAUCGGUGGAUUGCGGGGGAUACUGUUUGGCUAGGGGACGGGAGAGGUCGACGGUAUUUCCGGGGUAGGGGUGAAAUCCUAUAAUCCCGGGAAGACCACCAGUGGCGAAGGCUGUCGACUAGAACGCGCCCGACGGUGAGGGAUGAAAGCUGGGGGAGCGAACCGGAUUAGAUACCCGGGUAGUCCCAGCUGUAAACGAUGCAGGCUAGGUGUUUGGGCGGCCACGAGCCGCCCUAGUGCCGCAGGGAAGCUGUUAAGCCUGCCGCCUGGGGAGUACGGCCGCAAGGCUGAAACUUAAAGGAAUUGGCGGGGGAGCACCACAAGGUGUGAAGCUUGCGGUUUAAUUGGAUUCAACGCCGGAA
rnacentral:rRNA from 1 species